rnacentral:tRNA from 1 species
GGCCAAGUAGUUCAGUUGGUUAGAACGCCAGCCUGUCACGCUGGAGGUCGAGGGUUCAAGCCCCUUCUUGGUCGCCA